AGUGAACGCUGGCGGUAGGCCUAACACAUGCAAGUCGAACGGAAGCACAGUAAGAGCUUGCUCCUACGGGUGGCGAGUGGCGGACGGGUGAGGAAUACAUCGGAAUCUACUUUUUCGUGGGGGACAACGUAGGGAAACUUACGCUAAUACCGCAUACGACCUACGGGUGAAAGCAGGGGAUCUUCGGACCUUGCGCGACUGAAUGAGCCGAUGUCGGAUUAGCUAGUUGGCGGGGUAAAGGCCCACCAAGGCGACGAUCCGUAGCUGGUCUGAGAGGAUGAUCAGCCACACUGGAACUGAGACACGGUCCAGACUCCUACGGGAGGCAGCAGUGGGGAAUAUUGGACAAUGGGCGAAAGCCUGAUCCAGCCAUACCGCGUGAGUGAAGAAGGCCUUCGGGUUGUAAAGCCCUUUUGUUGGGAAAGAAAAGCAGCAGGUUAAUACCCCGCUGUUCUGACGGUACCCAAAGAAUAAGCACCGGCUAACUUCGUG
rnacentral:rRNA from 1 species